GGGAUGUGAGCCAAGCUCUGAAGGAAUAAUGUAGAUGGAACCCAGAAUUCCAAGAUUCCAACCUUACUUUCUAGUCAAAACUCUACCAAUUGCCAGUGGUGAAGCUGGUAUAAGCCACGUAUCUCUGAGCCAAUUUUCUUAUCAUCAAAGUGAAGACAAUAGCACCAGCCAUACCUUCCUUAGGGCGUUUUGCAGGCUAAAUGAGAUAGUGGGUCCCUCGUUGGCUGCUCGUCAGAUUUCUCUCUUCAAUUCCAAGCGCAUCUUAUGUAAACAAUAGUGUCUAUGAUAGUGGAUGUGAUUGUGUGCUACCUGGAUCUCCUAGCUGAAAUCCUUCGAAGAAUUUCCUUCAGUCAAUGGGAGCCACCUCCCCUGAGGUUAUGGCUCCAGGUGAAGAUUAAACAGCUGUAGAAGUGUCAUCCAAGAUUGGCCAGUGAGUAGUAUGAAGGCCUGCCCCUGCUUGUCCUGUUUCCUUGACACAGCUCCCAAGAGCCAUCUCAGCUCCCAAGCACCCUAAAGGAUUGGCUGAGGCCUUUAUUGAGACUGCAUUGCAGCACAAUUUCUCCCUCUCUCUAA
rnacentral:lncRNA from 10 species